rnacentral:sRNA from 1 species
AUCAGUUACAGUUGCCUUGGUUUUGUUUGUUUUGUUUUGUAAGUCGUAAAAGUUGAAACCUCGGUAACUUUAGACCCAGGUAACAUUUUUUUACUGUCACAUAAAUAUCUCUUAUAGUAAUCCAUGCUGCUCCCAACCCCCACCGGGAGUGUAUAUUUUCUGCCUUGGGUACUUCGGAAGCAUAUCGGAGUGAUCUGUCUUAGAUCAGACAAGCCUGGCUUCUCCCUCCCUCUGUUCCUCUUCAGAAAAGAAGAAUAGUCCUCCCAGGGAUAUCGACAUGACAAGCUACAAUAAGACUAGUCAAAAGCUUCCUGCAAAAGUCUUCUCAGGAAAUC